rnacentral:rRNA from 1 species
UACGUAGGGUGCGAGCGUUGUCCGGAAUCAUUGGGCGUAAAGAGCGCGCAGGCGGUUGUUUAAGUCGAAUGUGAAAGCCCCCGGCUCAACUGGGGAGGGUCAUUCGAUACUGAUCGACUUGAAGGCAGGAGAGGGAAGUGGAAUUCCGGGUGUAGUGGUGAAAUGCGUAGAUAUCCGGAGGAACACCAGUGGCGAAGGCGACUUCCUGGCCUGUUCUUGACGCUGAGGCGCGAAAGCUGGGGGAGCAAACGGG